CACUCCGGUGGCCUAGUGGUUAGAGCGUCCGCCUCGGAUGCGGGAGAUCGCGGGUUCGAAGCCUGGCUGAGUCA